CGGCGCGCUGUCACGCUCCGCAACCGACAGGCACGAGAAUUCCAGGGAGGAAGUCGCUGAGAUUCAGAGCCGCGCGACAACUAAAAGGAAAAAGCGGGAUAAGGAAGCCGAGGCCGGGCGGCACAGAGGGAAGGACCGGGACAAAGUCGUCCUCGGGGUGGUGGUGGUCGUGGUGGUGGGGGGGGGCAGAAGGAAACUCGGAACCGGGACAUGGACUAGAGGCGCCGGGCCGCAGCAGAUGGAGGCGGCGAGAAGUUUGGUGCUGGUCGGGGCCGCGCUGCUGGCGGCGACGGGCGCGUUGGGGAGAGAAGGUGGGUGACUCUUCACGGCUCUAAUGGCCCCCGGGUGAAGGAGGGGGGGGUGUUGUGUGUGUGUGUAUAUAUGCGUAUGUGUGUGUGUGUGUGUGCGCGCGUGCGCGUGUAUGUGUGUGUGGGGGAUAGGGGGAGAGAUGUCUGUCGACGACACCGCAUUCCUAAUCCCACCUGUCACAAAGUAGCCCCUAAAGUAGCCUCCCCCGAGGCCCGAGGAGCACACUUUGUUGCGCGCUGUAGUACUCGUAUUACUGCUAGUAGUACUAGUAGUACUAGCAGUAAUACGAGUGGCAGGACGGCUGGUGGAGGAACAGGUGAGACACUUUGGGGAACCUGCUUUGCAGCUCGAGAGACACCGAGAGACGUCGGGCUGGUUUGCUCCACGCUUCAACAACAACAACAACAACAACAAGAAACGCGGCAUUGUGCGUCGGGGAUCAUGACGAUGUCAAUUAUUGUCCCGAGGCUCCGCGCAGGACAUUGUCUGAUAGACACGCGCGUAUUUGCAGGAUAAUCCCACAUUUCCCCCUUAGUUGCAUCUUGUAGAAGAUGCACGACGAUGCUCUGCGAAAGCGCGUUUUCUAUUUUAUCUGCAUAGGAUCUCAUUUCUUUGAGAAUAGUCGUGCAUUUUAAACUUUCUCCACUUAUCGGGGCUGAAAAAGUUUGAGCAACAUGCGCUUGGUGUUUAAUGAAAUGCUGA
ensembl:lncRNA